CAGUCGCCGCGGUAAGACGGAGGGUGCUAGCGUUGUUCGGAAUCACUGGGCGUAAAGGGCGCGUAGGCGGCCUGUUAAGUCGGAUGUGAAAGCCCGGGGCUCAACCCCGGAACUGCAUCCGAGACUGGCAGGCUUGAGACCGGGAGAGGAGGGUGGAAUAGCCAGUGUAGAGGUGAAAUUCGUAGAUAUUGGAUGGAACACCGGUGGCGAAAGCGGCUCUCUGGCCCGGAUCUGACGCUGAGGCGCGAAAGCGUGGGGAGCAAACAGGAUUAGAUACCCGGGUAGUCCCUGUCUCUUAUAC
rnacentral:rRNA from 1 species